rnacentral:rRNA from 1 species
AAUCAACGCUGGCGGCGUGCCUCAGACAUGCAAGUCGAACGCGAAAGUCCCCUUCGGGGGCGAGUAGAGUGGCGCACGGGUGAGUAACACGUAUGUAAUCUACCCCCGACGUGGGGAAGUAACUCAGGGAAACGUUAGAGCUAAUACCGCAUAAAUGCAGCGGCACCACAUGGUGACAGUUGUUAAAGCAUUUAUGCGCUUGGGGAGGAGCCUGCGGCAGAUAGUCUAGUUGGUAAGGUAAUGGCUUACCAAGGCUACGAUCUGUAACCGGCCUGAGAGGGCGGACGGUCACACUGACACUGAAUAACGGGUCANACUCCUACGGGAGGCAGCAGGUCGGGAAUUUUGGGCAAUGGGCGAAAGCCUGACCCAGCAACGCCGCGUGAAGGAUGAAAUC